AUGCCGACGGUCAGCGUCGGCCGCGACCGCCUCUUCGCCGCACUCGGCAGGGUCUACACGCAAGACGAAUUCGAGGCACUCUGCUUUGAUUUCGGCAUCGAACUCGAUGAUGUGACCACAGAGAAGGCCAUCAUCCGGAAGGAGAAGCACCUGGAGGAAGACGUCGAAGCGGACGGCGAUGACGAGGUCAUCUACAAGAUUGAGGUUGCCGCCAAUAGAUAUGAUUUGUUAUGUCUUGAAGGAAUAGCAAGAUCUCUUCGCAUUUUCACCGGGAGUGAAGCAACCCCUAUAUUCAAAAUUGCUUCAAUCCCUCGUGGUUCAAUGCUCCAGAUGCAUGUUAGAUCACAGACCUCACAAAUUAGACCAUAUGUAGUUUGUGCUGUCCUAAGAGGAGUAACUUUUGAUGAAGUCAGAUACAGCAGCUUCAUUGAUCUUCAAGACAAACUCCAUCAAAAUAUUUGCCGGAAGAGAACUCUUGUUGCUAUUGGUACCCAUGAUUUGGACACUCUACAAGGACCCUUCUCAUACGAGGCUCUACCACCACAGGAAAUCAAUUUUAUCCCACUAAAGCAGGAGCAAAAUUUCAGAGCGGAUGCAUUGAUGGAGUUCUACAGAUCGGACAUGAAGUUGAAGAAGUUUUUGCAUAUAAUCGAGAACUCUCCAGUUUACCCAGUUAUAUAUGAUAGCAACAGAACUGUAUUAUCGUUACCGCCUAUCAUCAAUGGUGCACAUUCUGCUAUCACCCUUAAGACAAGGAAUGUGUUUAUCGAAUGCACUGCUACAGACCUUACAAAAGCAAAUAUUGUUCUGAAUACAAUGGUUGCAAUGUUCUCGGAGUACUGUGAAAAUAAGUUUGAAGUGGAACCAGUUGAAGUGGUAUCUUAUGAUGGAAGCACAGCCAUUUACCCUGAUCUUUCAUGUUAUAAAAUGGAAGUUGCGCUCUCUGAUAUUGUUGGACCCAUUGGAAUCUCCCUGGAUGAGACGCAGGUUAUCUCCCUUUUGAACAAAAUGCAAUUGCAAGCGAAACUUUGUUCAUCAAAUGGGGAGCCCUGUAUUUCGGUGUCUGUCCCUCCUACAAGAAGUGAUGUUCUGCAUGCCCGUGAUCUAGCAGAGGAUGUUGCUAUAGCUUAUGGGUACAACAAUGUGCCAAAAUCAAAGCCAAAGUCUAUGACAAUAGGUGGAAGGCAACCACUAAACCGUUUCUCUGAUAAAAUUCGUGCUGAGGUUGCAAGAGCUGGUUAUAUGGAGGUGCUCACAUUUGUUUUGACUUCACACGAAGAAAACUUCGAUAUGCUAAACAGGACAGACGAUGGAAAUAAAGCAGUCAUUAUUGCAAACCCCCGUACUUCUGAAUUUGAGGUUGUAAGAAGUAGUCUGAUGUCAUGUUUGUUGAAAACACUGAAGCAUAAUAUAGACCAUCCAAGACCCAUAAAGAUUUUUGAAGUUGGGGAUGUAGUGUCAUUGGAUACUUCACGUGAUGUUGGUGCCUCCAAUAAUCGCCGGCUUGCAGCUUUGUACUGUAAUAGUAAUUCUGGAUUUGAGGAAAUUAUGGGUUUGGUGGAUAGGAUUGUCAAAAUCGUGGCAGGUUCUCCACGCAUAAAAUUCGGCCAGACUUACUAUGUUCCUUCAAGCGAACCUGAGUUCUUUACUAAAAGACAAUGCAAAAUUGUUAUGAGUGAUGGAAAGCAGGUUGGCUACUUGGGAAUUGUCCACGCUGAGGUGCUAAGAAAAUUUGGCAUUCCGGACCCCUGCACCUUUGUCGAGAUUGACAUGGAGGCUCUUUUGUAG
rnacentral:rRNA from 1 species